CCUUAGGAACAUAACCAACGCAACAUUUGCCACCUGUUCCACGUCGAUUUUUAGAAGAAUUUUGUCUGAUUUAAGAUGUCGUCGUCUGCAGGUACGACUGUGACGUGCUCUGGUGAACGGUGUACAACUGGCCCAGAAUGUACCUGUGGAGGUCCGAGCAACUGCAAAUGUCCCAAUGAUUGCAACUGUCCGAAGUGUGCUCCUAAAUGCAAAUGUUUUGGUGAGUGCACUUGUAACAUAGGGUGCACCGGACCAGCCAAUUGUACCUGCGACCGCAGCUGCCCUUGCAAAAAUUAACCAGCCUUCUUUGUGUGUUGUCAUUCUCAAUUUUUAGCUGCUCUGUCUCUCUGUCACUGUCCCUGCCAUUCUGUCUCUCUGUCUCUCUGUCAUU